UACGUAGGGGGCAAGCGUUGUCCGGAAUCAUUGGGCGUAAAGCGCGUGUAGGCGGCCCGGUAAGUCCGCUGUGAAAGUCGGGGGCUCAACCCUCGAAUGCCGGUGGAUACUGUCGGGCUAGAGUGCGGAAGAGGCGAGUGGAAUUCCUGGUGUAGCGGUGAAAUGCGCAGAUAUCAGGAGGAACACCGGUGGCGAAGGCGGGUCUCUGGGCCGUAACUGACGCUGAGGAGCGAAAGCGUGGGGAGCGAACAGG
rnacentral:rRNA from 1 species